UACUCCUCUUUGCCUUCCACCAUGAUUGUGAGGCCUCCCUAGCCCUGUGGAACUUGGUCUGAUGCAGAACUGAAAAGGCCAACACGAGAAUCUUCAAGUACAAUUGCCUGGGAAUCCUGAGGUCUGGACAGCAACACCUGAAUCUGAAUCUCUUUUGGGUUGAAUCAUAAAAGAAAAUAGUAUGGAGAGAUUUAAGGCCAGGCCUCUGGAGAAGGAAUUGAUAAAAUAUGUGGUAGUACCUGCGCUACAGAACAGAAUUCACUUGGAAGUUCUUGGCAUAUAAUGAGUAAAUUGAAGCCCAGAAAGGCCAAGAAACUUGAACCAUUUAGGUGAAGAAGAGUGCUCACCAGAUUCCCUUCUGGUCUGGAAAAAGAAAUCCCUUCUUUUGUGGAUGUCAUCUCUACCAUCUCUCGGUGAAAAAUAUUUCAAGAGAAUCCUAAGAUGGAGAGAGCAUUGGAAGUCAUCCGGCCCAAUUCCCUUGUGCAAUUCAAAGCUUCUUUGUAAGAAAAAUGCCCCCAGAAGUUUGUUUGCAUCAUGAAGAUCAGAUUUUGAGGAUCCAGUCUGGCUCUUCCCUGUACAAAACAUUCCUCACAAACAGAAUAUGGACAAUUGUUAAAUGUCAAAGGUAAAGUUAUUGUGGGAACUCCUUCAAAAAGUUCAAGUGAGAGCCCAUUCUAUGAAUGACCAUUUACAUCUAAUUUUUUUCUGUGCUAUGUUACUUAUUCUGAAGUGGUUGAUCCAAUUCCUAAAAGGGAAUAUUUCAUUACCUUUUAUUUCCUAUAGCAUCCAUUCUGACCCCUUUUCGGUUUAAUUAUUCCCUGAUUCCAGUCUUCAUUCACUCAUUUAUUUGAGGAAUAUUUAUUGACCAACAACUAUGCCAGGUCCCAUUCUAUGUGUAGGGACUAUAAAGUUGAACAAGACAGAGGAGGUACUGGCCUCAGAAUUUACAUUCUAGUAGAUGAGAAAGUAAAAAUAAACACAUGAAAACAUGAAUGAACCGGAUAUUGUAGACUGUGAUAGGUGUAGUUUGGGUAAAGCACAGAGUGCAGUAGUAAAGAUAAACUGCACUCAGAGUGGGGCUAUUUUAGAUGGAAUGGAGAUCUCUGAGGAAAUGAAAUUUGAGCUGAGACCUAAAAGGUCACCCAAGGACUCAUGGGAAAACUCAGUUGUUUCUAUCAAAAUUUAGCUUCAUGAACUCCAGGCCCUUGCAAAUGAUGGUUACCAGGUGAGAAAUGUCUCACUGGCAACAGAGGUUGGCAGACCCAGCUCCAGUUCCAUCCCAGCCAACAUACCAAUGUCAUUAAAAUAAGGCCAUUCAUCAAGGUGGAGACUAUUACUAGAAACAAGCAUUCUAAAGUGCCAUUUGAGUGCCAGGCUCUCAACACUGGGCGUAGCACUGCUCCAUGAGGCUUUUGAGAGCAUAUACUGAGGCAUGACCAAAAAAAUUAAGUCCCAUGUAAGUGAUGCAACUGCUCCCCAAUUACUGUGGAAGUAUCUGCAGACUAACUAUUGUGCGUGUGUGUUUGUUUGCUUUAAUG
rnacentral:lncRNA from 1 species